UGGAACAAUCCAGGUGGAAGCUGCUGGCAAGGGAAGUCUUCCUUGGCGGAUCAUCAUCAUCAUCAUCAUCAUCACUUUGCUCUACGCUUUUAGCCUCUUUACAGUGCUGCCUUGUCUAAUCAUGUUCAAGCAGCAUUGUACAGGGCUAUGACAGCGUCGAGAGCUGAGCUGCGUUUCUCUGACCCUUUGGAAGACAGCCAACGAAUGACAUCAUCCGUCAGAAACACAAAACGGAGAGGUUUGUGUGUUGGAUAGGCGGCAGAGCGACUUGUCUUCGGAUUGUCCUGCGUAUUGCUUUCUGUAACUCCAGAAAUUGCCUUUUUUUCUAAAGAAACAAGAUAAAUUCAAGCAUUACUCUGAGAGACCAUGGAGAUACCAAAUUAAUUUAUACGAAAUGCCAAAAUAAUGCCAAGAAAAGGUGUCCUUUCUCUGUGAAACAGGCUGUGUUGCCAGUGUUUUCUUUUUUGUCAAACAACCAAUCCUUGCAAUGUAUUUUGGACCAACAUAUAAUUGACUAUUAAAAAGUUGUUUGCCUCCA